rnacentral:tRNA from 1 species
GGGCCGGUAGUCUAGUCCGGUUAUGACGCCGCCCUUACAAGGCGGAGGUCGCCAGUUCAAAAAAUUGAAAAUCUGGCCCGGCCCA